ACAACCUUAGGAGCGUCGGUCUACCGAGCAAUAUUCCACCCGCUCGUUGGAAGAUCUUCCCUUUGUCGU
rnacentral:pre_miRNA from 1 species